CGCAUACCGGGGAGUCUGUUACAAUGAGUGUGUUGGGCAAGAAACAGGAACCCCACAGAAAUAUGCCACCGCAAUGGGCGACCUCACUUUACGAUUUACUGAGACGUCAAACUGAGUCAACAGCACUAUGUGAUGAUGCCCCUCCACAAAACAAGACGGCUUUGGACCAGACGUUCAGGGAUGUCCUCACUCCUUACUACAAUAGCACCCAUGAAGGCCAUACAGGAGAAAGCCGAGGGAAGGAGGCAAUCAUAAAGUGAGCUGAUGAACUACAGGUGGAUGAAGGUGUAACAAAGGGCAGAGCACAAGAGAAAGGGGAAAAGUCUUCUUUCUAAAUAAAGUUUGGAACAGUAGCGUCCAUGUGUUUGGUUGUUCAGGAUGAAUAGGUAGCCUGUGGGCCUGUGAGUAUGAUGAAGAGAGCAAUCUGGUGCUUAAAGAUGUUUAAGGUCCCACUGGGGUCUGGAAGCCCAUUGUAUGUGUGUGUGUAUGUGUGUGUUUGUGUGUGCAAUUUAUAUAUCCAUUGGCUCAGGCAAAGCACCAUUAAGUAUGAAUGUAUUUAAUAAUGCGGUUAUUGAAUGAGCCAACUGGCUCAAAAUACGUAUUAGUUAGCCUCACUUUUGACUGAAUUGUGGAUGCGUCACAUACUGUAAGCACUACCCUUGAGCGUAUGCCCCUAGGCAUGUGCUUCUAACACACACGCAAGAACACAAAAGAAAAACCCUGUAGUUCUGACAUGAACACGAGGCAGAGAGAUGACACAAACUACUUCAACCCCGCAAACCACCAUCUUCACCCGUGUCGAAUGCUGUGUGACGCAAGCAAACUUAAUUUUCGACAACACAACAUUAAUUACUUUAUCACCCAGCACACCAGAAACCCCCAUUAACCUCGCCAUGACUUUCAAAAGAUUCCCAAUCACUGAAAUCAGAGCUCUGUUUCCUAAUAAAAACUACAAAGAGCUUCUCAUCUGCACUAAUUGAAAUGUUAACAGAUUUAAAUGGAAUGCGUUUGACAAUGACAAUACAGUGUAAUUACUGUUCUGAGGCUCUUGCCUAACACACCCCAUCCAGAGGGUGGAUCAUCGUAAUUCUGACACAGAAAGCAUCACAUGGAAAGAAAAGAAAAAUGAUGAAAGGGAAGUUUUGAAAUGAUGUUGACACAGGGGGGUUGACAGGAUGUCCCAUGUGGGCCUUUAAAGGAGCAGCGGGAGAAGAGAUGGAAGGGAAAUAUAAAUAUCUCAACAUCUCAAAAGCAGUGUGUUUUAAAAGGCCAGAGCUACAAACUUAAAUGCCACUCCACUGAUUCCUCACACACACUCCAUAUCUAGUUAUGUAGGAUUUUAAUAUAACGUCAUGCAUUAAAAAAAUGAUAUUCAGGUUGAAAUAAUUUGCAAACCUAUAAUAUAUAUUUAUAUACCACAAACUUUAACCAAUGACUUGUUCCAACACUCAAGUGAGUCCCCUUGGAUUUAGUUUCUCAGGAUGUUCCUGUUUUACAGUAAAUUUUAUAGAAUGUAUUUCACAGGUAUGCUGGUUCACUUUUGUUUUGCUUUGCCUUCUUCAUACUGUAUACCUGUCCUGUGAAAUCUAUACACAGAACAAAAGAAAAAAAGAUAAAAGACAUGAAAGAAUCAACCAGUGAAAAGUGUUUUCCAUCAGACCUUGAGCAGACAGAUGGCACUGGGUGUCUUUCUGAUAGAAACAAGCUAUGUCAUUCCCAAGGAAAUCAGACAAUCAAGCAUGAGAUAUUGACAUUGCACUCCUC